rnacentral:rRNA from 1 species
UUACAAUGAAGAGUUUGAUCCUGGCUCAGGAUGAACGCUAGCUACAGGCUUAACACAUGCAAGUCGAGGGGCAUCAGGAAGAAAGCUUGCUUUCUUUGCUGGCGACCGGCGCACGGGUGAGUAACACGUAUCCAACCUGCCCUUUACUCGGGGAUAGCCUUUCGAAAGAAAGAUUAAUACCCGAUGGCAUAAUGAUUCCGCAUGGUUUCAUUAUUAAAGGAUUCCGGUAAAGGAUGGGGAUGCGUUCCAUUAGGUUGUUGGUGAGGUAACGGCUCACCAAGCCUUCGAUGGAUAGGGGUUCUGAGAGGAAGGUCCCCCACAUUGGAACUGAGACACGGUCCAAACUCCUACGGGAGGCAGCAGUGAGGAAUAUUGGUCAAUGGGCGCUAGCCUGAACCAGCCAAGUAGCGUGAAGGAUGAAGGCUCUAUGGGUCGUAAACUUCUUUUAUAUAAGAAUAAAGUGCAGUAUGUAUACUGUUUUGUAUGUAUUAUAUGAAUAAGGAUCGGCUAACUCCGUGCCAGCAGCCGCGGUAAUACGGAGGAUCCGAGCGUUAUCCGGAUUUAUUGGGUUUAAAGGGAGCGUAGGUGGACUGGUAAGUCAGUUGUGAAAGUUUGCGGCUCAACCGUAAAAUUGCAGUUGAUACUGUCAGUCUUGAGUACAGUAGAGGUGGGCGGAAUUCGUGGUGUAGCGGUGAAAUGCUUAGAUAUCACGAAGAACUCCGAUUGCGAAGGCAGCUCACUGGACUGCAACUGACACUGAUGCUCGAAAGUGUGGGUAUCAAACAGGAUUAGAUACCCUGGUAGUCCACACAGUAAACGAUGAAUACUCGCUGUUUGCGAUAUACAGUAAGCGGCCAAGCGAAAGCAUUAAGUAUUCCACCUGGGGAGUACGCCGGCAACGGUGAAACUCAAAGGAAUUGACGGGGGCCCGCACAAGCGGAGGAACAUGUGGUUUAAUUCGAUGAUACGCGAGGAACCUUACCCGGGCUUAAAUUGCAGUGGAAUGAUGUGGAAACAUGUCAGUGAGCAAUCACCGCUGUGAAGGUGCUGCAUGGUUGUCGUCAGCUCGUGCCGUGAGGUGUCGGCUUAAGUGCCAUAACGAGCGCAACCCUUAUCUUCAGUUACUAACAGGUCAUGCUGAGGACUCUGGAGAGACUGCCGUCGUAAGAUGUGAGGAAGGUGGGGAUGACGUCAAAUCAGCACGGCCCUUACGUCCGGGGCUACACACGUGUUACAAUGGGGGGUACAGAAGGCAGCUAGCGGGUGACCGUAUGCUAAUCCCAAAAUCCUCUCUCAGUUCGGAUCGAAGUCUGCAACCCGACUUCGUGAAGCUGGAUUCGCUAGUAAUCGCGCAUCAGCCACGGCGCGGUGAAUACGUUCCCGGGCCUUGUACACACCGCCCGUCAAGCCAUGGGAGCCGGGGGUACCUGAAGUACGUAACCGCAAGGAUCGUCCUAGGGUAAAACUGGUGACUGGGGCUAAGUCGUAACAAGGUAGCCGUACCGGAAGGUGCGGCUGGAACACCUCCUUUCU